GGAUCAUUACCAAGUACAACCCGUCUCCGGACGGGCUGCUACCAACCCUUUGUUGUCCGACCGCGUUGCCUCCGGGGCGACCCUGACCUUCGGGUUUUUGGGGGACCCCGGGUGGACACCUAAACUCUGCGUAACUUUGUAGUCUGAGUAAUAGAUUAAAUCAAUCAAAACUUUCAACAACGGAUCUCUUGGUUCUGGCAUCGAUGAAGAACGCAGCGAAAUGCGAUAAGUAAUGUGAAUUGCAGAAUUCAGUGAAUCAUCGAAUCUUUGAACGCACAUUGCGCCCCGUGGUAUUCCGCGGGGCAUGCCUGUUCGAGCGUCAUUUCACCACUCAAGCCUCGCUUGGUAUUGGGCGACGCGGUCCGCCGCGCGCCUCAAAUCGACCGGCUGGGUCGAUCGCACCCUCAGCGUUGUGGAAACUAUUCGCUAAAGGAGUUGUGGUCGGUCACGCCGUGAAACAAACCAAUCUUUCAACGGUUGACCUCGGAUCAGGUAGGGAUACCCGCUGA
rnacentral:rRNA from 2 species